UACGAGGGGUGCAAGCGUUGCUCGGAAUUAUUGGGCGUAAAGGGUAGGUAGGUGGUCUCAUUUGUCUGAGGUGAAAGCCUUGAGCUUAACUCAAGAAGUGCCUUAGAAACGGUGAGACUGGAGUCCUGGAGAGGGUCGUGGAAUUCCCGGUGUAGCGGUGAAAUGCGUAGAGAUCGGGAGGAACACCAGCGGCGAAGGCGGCGACCUGGACAGGUACUGACACUCAACUACGAAAGCGUGGGUAGCAAAC
rnacentral:rRNA from 1 species